GCCUCAUAGUGAAAGGCAGCCCAUACCAGGAUGUGCUUAGGUGUUGGCAGCCUAGAUGUCAAUUUGAAUUUUCUCCCAAUUUCCCCAGUGAAACAAUUUUGUAGAAAGUAUGAUAUUGUGGUAUUUGAGACAGCAGCCACAAGGAAGAGAUCCACAGUGCAACCCCUACCAUUUGGAAAGUGCCAAGCAGGAGAGUGAACGAGGAUACCUAAGUGGUUAAUUAAGAGCCAUUCGGACGCCACAAGAGCCUCCUGAAAAAUCCCUCUGAUGUCUGCUGUGUCAAAUGUCUCUCACAGGCAAAACCACAAGAGGUAGCUGCCAUAGCAGGCUAAUUAUUGGGGACCAAGAGCAGCUGAGAAUGGCCUGUCACUGAGGCUUGCUGUGAGCACCCAAGCCCAGAACUGAGCAGAGCAGCUUUUGUGUCACUGGGCUUGAGAGAAACAGUGGA